UAGGGUUUUGAUUAUGGCUCAGAUUGAACGCUGGCGGCAGGCCUUACACAUGCAAGUCGAGCGAGAAAUUUUCUUCGGAAAAGAGUAAAGCGGCGGACGGGUGAGUAACGCGUAGGAAUCUACCUAGUAGUGGGGGACAACAUGUGGAAACGCAUGCUAAUACCGCAUACGCCCUAUGGGGGAAAGCAGGGGAUCUUCGGACCUUGUGCUAUUAGAUGAGCCUGCGUCGGAUUAGUUUGUUGGUAGGGUAAUGGCCUACCAAGACUACGAUCCGUAGCUGGUCUGAGAGGAUGAUCAGCCACACUGGGACUGAGACACGGCCCAGACUCCUACGGGAGGCAGCAGUGGGGAAUAUUGGACAAUGGGCGCAAGCCUGAUCCAGCCAUGCCGCGUGUGUGAAGAAGGCUCUAGGGUUGUAAAGCACUUUCAGUAGGGAGGAAAAGUUAGUAGUUAAUAACUGCUAGCCCUGACGUACCUACAGA
rnacentral:rRNA from 1 species